UUUAAUUUUAGUUUUUCUUAUAUUAAUUCAUUUUCACAGAAAUCAAACACAAAUAUAUUUAUAUGACCAAUAUAGCAUAUUCAACACAUAUUACCAAUAGUCAUGAACACAUAUGUAUCCAACACAUGUUACCAAUAAUAGCAAGUUUCAUCCGUACAUAUACAUAGUUUCAUCAAUAUUACACAGUUUUAUCCAUAGGUAGCAAGUUUCACAAGGUCAAAACAAAAACUAAAUACAAGCACUCCAUCAACCCAAGCUUCAGUGAUCUUAAGCAAAUCUGUAAAAUGGGAAUGAAGAAAGUUAGAAGAAGAAGACUAGAAGAAGAAGAUUAUUAUGAUGCAACUAAAAUGUGAAGAUUAUUAUGAUGCAACUUAUAUCUGUAAAAUAGGUCAUUUUGGAGCUAAGUAUGGUUAUUAUGUCAUUUUUGAGCUAGCUAAGCAUACUAAGUCAUUUUGGUGUAAAACAUGCUAAGGUCAUUCUAGAGCUAAGUAAGGUUAUUAUGUCAUUUUGGAGCUAGCUAAGCAUGUGAAGUCAUUUAGGAUCUAAAAUAUGUCAUUUCUUAAGCAUAUUAUGUCAUUUUAGAGUUAGCUAAGCAUAUUAAGUCAUUUUGGAGGAAAAUCUGCUAAGUAUAGGCCAUUUUAGAGCUAUCCUAGGUUAAAUAGGUCAUUUUUAAGCUCGCUAAGCAUAUUAAGUCAUUUUGGAGGAAAAAAAUGCUAAGUAUAGGUCAUUUUAGAGCUGUCCUAGGUUAAAUAGGUCAUUUUGGAGCUAAUUAAGCUUAUUACGUAAUUUUUGAGCUAGCUAAGCAUAUUGAGUCAUUUUGGAGGAAAAAAUGCUAAGUAUAGGUCAUUUUAGAGCUAUCCUAGGUUAAAUAGGUCAUUUUGGAGCUAAGUAAGGUUAUUAUGUCAUUUUGGAGCUAGCUAAGCAUAUGAAGUCAUUUAGGAGCUAAAAUAUGUCAUUUAAGCAUUUAUGUCAUUUUAGAGCUAGUUAAGCAUAUUGAGUCAUUUUGGAGGAAAAGAUGCUAAGUAUAGGUCAUUUUAGAGCUAUCCUAGGUUAAAUAGGUCAUUUUUAAGCUAGCUAAGCAUAUUAAGUCAUUUUGGAGGAAAAAAUGCUAAGUAUAGGUCAUUUUAGAGCUAUCCUAGCUCCUAGGUUAAAUAGGUCAUUUUGGAGCUAAUUAAGCUUAUUAUGUAAUUUUUGAGCUAGCUAAGCAUAUUAAGUCAUUUUGGAGGAAAAAAUGCUAAGUAUAGGUCAUUUUAGAGCUAGCCUAGGUUGAAUAGGUUAUUUUGGAGCUAAGUAAGGUUAUUAUGUUAUUUUGGAGCUAGCUAAGCAUAUGAAGUCAUUUAGGAUCUAAAAUAUGUCAUUUCUUAAGCAUAUUAUAUCAUUUGAGAGCUAGCUAAGCAUAUUAAGUCAUUUUGGAGGAAAAUAUGCUAAGUAUACGUCAUUUUAGAGCUAUCCUAGGUUAAAUAUGUCAUUUUUAAGCUAGCUAAGCAUAUUAAGUCAUUUUGGAGGAAAAAUGCUAAGUAUAGGUCAUUUUAGAGCUAUCCUAGGUUAAAUAUGUCAUUUUUGGAGCUAAUUAAGCUUAUUAUGUCAUGUUUGAGCUAGCUAAGCAUAUUGAGUCAUUUUGGAGGAAAAAAUGCUAAGUAUAUGAUUAUGUCGCUAGUAUCCAUAUGGCAGAGAACCCGGGCCGACAUGACUAGUCAUAGAACCAAGGUGGCACAGCCGUACAGGGACAGGCAUACAUGACCCAGCAAUGCACGUGUCGGUCAUCAGCGAGUGCAACCAAGUCGUAGCAAGCUACAAGGACUUCGGUGAUACACCGUGUGACAUUUCCCCAUAGGGACAGACACAGGAGCAAAGAAGGACACAUGCCGGUCAAUCCAUGUGUUCCGGAGCAGUAGCGAACUACCAUGGCUCAGUGGAAGCACUAGGAGGCAUUUCCCUGUAUGGAAGGCUACCAAAGGCACACGACUAGGUGUCGAAUCCCACACAUACAAUGCAUUUCAAACAUACACACAUUAUGCACGAUAUGUGUAGAUACAACAUGGCAUCACAACAAAACUCUAUUAAGCAAAACACUUGGGAAAUUUACUGUCAUCACGGAGGUGUAGGUGUAGGACCGGUCGCGCCAGUGGCAGACGGAGAAGGAUCGGUCGAUGCUUGUCGGGAGUUACGCUGCACCAAAGAUUAUUUCCAAUGUAUCGUUAGCAUGAUGCAACUCAAAUGUGAAGACUAGUAACUAAUGACCGUUCAAAUGAAACUCACCGUGCCCGCCGGAGCAAUGGCUGGCAUCGGCGGAGGGGUCUGGCCGUUCUUCUCACACAUGGACUGCACAUUUGGUUUUGACGAGUUAGUCAUAUUAGUUACUAAUGAAAGGAACAUUGCGUGCAUGAUUUAGCUAAUAUGUAGAAGAAACUUACCACGAAGAGAUCGUACAUGGCCCGGUUAGCCGAGUCAUUCCGGUUCCUCUCCUCCUCCAACAGCCUAGCCGUCCUCUCCUCAUUCUCCCGGUUACCACGAAGAGAUCGUACAUAACCAAGCACUCUCUUAAAAAAGCCAUACUGAAGUCAAGUAUUCAAACUUCUGAAGUUAGCUGUCGUUCAGUUAAACAUAAAACCCAAACAUUCCAACUUCCCAGUUUAGCUACCGUUCAGUUUCAGGAAAAAAAAGAGUUACUUACCCACAAAAGAAAAAGGAGAAAGGAGUCAGCUAGCUUUCUUGCAGACUAUACGUGCGUGUGAAACAUAGAAUCGGGUCACGCAAGUUAUACAGAAGGCCAAACAUAUCUUUAGAAAACAAAAUAAAGUAAAAUAAAGUAACAACCAACAGAUAAUCUUGAGCAGAUGCAGCAGAGUGAGCUACAAUAUGAAAAAACCACUGCAACUAUGUAAGCCGCAACACCCAUACAAAUACAUGAAAACAUCGCCACACUUCGCCAACAGCAAACCGCCUGAUGCCUAUGUAUUAUAUAUAGGAGUGGAACGAAGUAGUCCUAGAUUUAAAAUAAAUAUAGGAGUUCGGGAGAGAUAAAGUUGAGUUGUUAUAAAUACUGCAAAUGGGGUUGUGUGUAGGUGUAGGUUCGCCUCAAGGCACACAACCAUGAGAUGAACUAUGUUGGUAUUUCUGUAUUUGCACAGUCCAGCCUUACAAGCCACACUGAAUAACAAUGAACAGAGUAAGAUUACUGGAAAUGUACUGAAUGCAUAAAUUGCAAAAUAUGUGCAGAUCUGUCUAAGGCUCAGGAAAUGUUUGUUGUUUUGGUUAUUGGAGUUGCAGAACAGUAGGAGAAUUAACCACUUAAUUACUACUAGAGUUUUGUUCAUCUGAAAAAAUAAAAUAGUGCGAGUGUUUUGCCAGGAGCUUCAGGGCACAAAUAAGUUAUGGGGCAAGACAAUUGUAUGAGUAGUACUGUUUUGCAUUGUAUUUGUAGGGAGGCAGCGCUACUGUUUAGCAUGGCAUCUACAGUCCGAAGAAAGAUGGGACCAACCAGAGUAAGGUGAAUGAAUCCACAGUCCAAACCAAGAGAAAGCUACCAUUCAUACACUAUUCCAUUUCAUUAGGUAAGGUAAAGGAGCCAAGUACAUUGCUGACCUGGCCAAAUUCAGACACACAGUUUAGACAGAAUUGACAGAUUUUUCUAGACAGAUUCAAACAUGUAGACUAGACAGAUUCUGUCAUAUGUAAUAACUCGGGACCACCAAAAACCUUGGCAGAUUUGAUUUGAUUUGUUAGCCGUACUACAGCAAAAUGAGGGAGUGCUAAAUGAUAGUGACACUAGGUUCAUGACAUAUUAUAUUAUCAAGUAGAUGUUCACAGGAGCAAGAACAACAAUCUUAGUUUUCAUGAAGUGGGGCAAAAUGUCACAAGAGAUUGGGUUGAACUGAUGUAUCUUCCACGAAAGGUUCAGUCCAAGAAAGCUUACCUUAGAUACCUCGAGGCAACUCUGCCAUUUCACUCCGAAGGAACAGCUCGGCGCAGAAUUCAGUUCUCACAACCAACGGCAUCAACAAGCAUUCAUCAAACAUCAAUC
rnacentral:lncRNA from 1 species